rnacentral:rRNA from 1 species
UACGGAGUGUGCAAGCGUUACUCGGAAUCACUGGGCAUAAAGAGCACGUAGGCGGGGAUGCAUGUCCGUGGUGAAAUCCCCCAGCUCAACUGGGGAACUGCUUCGGAAACUGUGUCUCUUGAGGACGAGGGGGGAGAGUGGAACUUCUGGUGGAGCGGUGAAAUGCGUAGAUAUCAGAAGGAACACCGGUGGCGAAAGCGACUCUCUGGCUCGUUUCUGACGCUGAGGUGCGAAAGCUUGGGUAGCAAACAGG